CAAGAAUCGAGGCUGACGGUGCCUACUCUGUAGGCUCCGUCUAGUCCCGCUCUCUACCUUGCCUACUGCACCGUUUGUUGCUUCCUGGCGGCGGCGUCCCGUCACCAGGGCCUUUUGAAAGCCAAGUAUAAGCAUUGAAACUUCUGACAUAAACUAAAUCGUA
rnacentral:misc_RNA from 1 species